GUGUCUAGAGCUUGUGUGUAAAUCUUUAAGGCAUGCCAAACCAAUCUUCCUAAAGAGGUACACAAUGACACACUGCAUACAAUUCCGGCUGCAAAUCACAAAACACUUCAGAUUGUGACAAAUGUGAAAACGGGAAUGCAACAAGCCCCUGAUAAUCCGUAAAUCUGACAGGAUUACUCUACGCUCUGCAAGGUCUGUGCAAGGAAAAUCAGCCCCUGACUGCUCAUCUCUAUCCUAC